AACGAACGCUGGCGGCAUGCCUAACACAUGCAAGUCGAACGAGACCUUCGGGUCUAGUGGCGCACGGGUGCGUAACGCGUGGGAACCUGCCCUUAGGGUCGGAAUAACUCCCCGAAAGGGGUGCUAAUACCGGAUAAUGUCUUCGGACCAAAGAUUUAUCGCCUUUGUAUGGGCCCGCGUUGGAUUAGCUAGUUGGUAGGGUAAAAGCCUACCAAGGCGACGAUCCAUAGCUGGUCUGAGAGGAUGAUCAGCCACACUGAGACUGAGAAACGGCCCAGACUCCUACGGGAAGCAGCAGUGGGGAAUAUUGGACAAUGGGCGAAGUCCUGAUCCAGCAAUGCCGGGUGAGUGAUGAAGGCCUUAGGGUUGUAAAGCUCUUUUACCCGGGAUGAUAAUGACAGUACCGAGAGAAUAAGCUCCGGCUAACUCCGUG
rnacentral:rRNA from 1 species